AUUGAACGCUGGCGGCAGGCCUAACACAUGCAAGUCGAACGAGCGGCGGACGGGUGAGUAAUGUAUGGGGAACUGCCUGAUGGAGGGGGAUAACUACUGGAAACGGUAGCUAAUACCGCAUACCAUCAGAUGAACCCAUAUGGGAUUAGCUGGUGGGUAGGGUAACGGCUCACCUAGGCGACGAUCCCUAGCUGGUCUGAGAGGAUGACCAGCCACACUGGAACUGAGACACGGUCCAGACUCCUACGGGAGGCAGCAGUGGGGAAUAUUGCACAAUGGGCGCAAGCCUGAUGCAGCCAUGCCGCGUGUAUGAAGAAGGCCGUCGGGUUGUAAAGUACUUUCAGUGGGGAGGCGUUACCCGCAGAAGAAGCACCGGCUAACUCCGUGCCAGCAGCCGCGGUAAUUC
rnacentral:rRNA from 1 species